UGUGGGGACGGAGAAGGUUAGCUCAGCCAACUGUUGGAUAUGUGGGUUCAAGCCUGUAGUCGUGCCUGGUAGGCAAAUCCGCCGGGCUUAGAUGAGGGGUGAUAACGAGUCUGCUUGCAGACGAAGUGAGUGAUACCCUGCUUCCAGGAAAAGCCACUAAGCUUCAGCUACACACGACCGUACCGCAAACCGACACUGGUGCGCGAGAUGAGUAUUCUAAGGCGCUUGAGAGAACUCAGGAGAAGGAACUCGGCAAAUUGAUACCGUAACUUCGGGAGAAGGUAUGCCCCAAGUAGGUGAACUCGCACAGAGGGAGCCCAACGGGGUUGCAAAAAAUCGGUGGCUGCGACUGUUUAAUAAAAACACAGCACUCUGCAAACACGAAAGUGGACGUAUAGGGUGUGACGCCUGCCCGGUGCUGGAAGAUUAAAUGAUGGGGUGCAAGCUCUUGAUUGAAGUCCCAGUAAACGGCGGCCGUAACUAUAACGGUCCUAAGGUAGCGAAAUUCCUUGUCGGGUAAGUUCCGACCUGCACGAAUGGCGUAACGAUGGCCACACUGUCUCCUCCUGAGACUCAGCGAAGUUGAAAUGUUUGUGAUGAUGCAAUCUCCCCGCGGAAAGACGGAAAGACCCCAUGAACCUUUACUGUAGCUUUGUAUUGGACUUUGAACAGAUCUGUGUAGGAUAGGUGGGAGGCUUUGAAGUGAGGACGCUAGUUCUCAUGGAGCCAACGUUGAAAUACCACCCUGGUGUGUUUGAGGUUCUAACCUAGGUCCAUUAUCUGGAUCGGGGACAGUGCAUGGUAGGCAGUUUGACUGGGGCGGUCUCCUCCCAAAGCGUAACGGAGGAGUUCGAAGGUACGCUAGUUACGGUCGGACAUCGUGACGAUAGUGCAAUGGCAUAAGCGUGCUUAACUGCGAGACUGACAAGUCGAGCAGAUGCGAAAGCAGGACAUAGUGAUCCGGUGGUUCUGUAUGGAAGGGCCAUCGCUCAACGGAUAAAAGGUACUCUGGGGAUAACAGGCUGAUACCGCCCAAGAGUUCAUAUCGACGGCGGUGUUUGGCACCUCGAUGUCGGCUCAUCUCAUCCUGGGGCUGUAGCCGGUCCCAAGGGUAUGGCUGUUCGCCAUUUAAAGAGGUACGUGAGCUGGGUUUAAAACGUCGUGAGACAGUUUGGUCCCUAUCUUCCGUGGGCGCUGCAGAUUUGAGGAAGCCUGCUCCUAGUACGAGAGGACCGGAGUGGACACACCUCUGGUGUAUCGGUUGUCACGCCAGUGGCAUUGCCGAGUAGCUAAGGGUGGAAGAGAUAACCGCUGAAAGCAUCUAAGCGGGAAACUCGUUUCAAGAUGAGAUCUGCCGGGGCCUUGAGCCCCCUGAAGAGUCGUUCAAGACCAGGACGUUGAUAGGUCAGGUGUGGAAGC
rnacentral:rRNA from 1 species